rnacentral:rRNA from 1 species
UACGGAGGGUGCGAGCGUUGUCCGGAAUCACUGGGCGUAAAGAGUGCGUAGGCGGUCCCGCAAGUCCGCUGUGAAAGCCCCGGGCUUAACCUGGGAAUGGCAGUGGAAACUAUGGGACUUGAAUCUGGCAGAGGGGGGUGGAAUGCCACGUGUAGCAGUGAAAUGCGUAGAGAUGUGGCGGAACACCGAUGGCGAAGGCAGCCCCCUGGGCUGAGAUUGACGCUCAGGCACGAAAGCGUGGGGAGCAAACAGG